UACAGAGGUCCCAAGCGUUGUUCGGAUUCACUGGGCGUAAAGGGUGCGUAGGUGGCCGGUUAAGUCUGACGUGAAAUCUCCGAGCCUAACUCGGAAACUGCAUCGGAAACUAUCCGGCUCGAGGGUUGGAGGGGGGACUGGAAUACUUGGUGUAGCAGUGAAAUGCGUAGAUAUCAAGUGGAACACCAGUGGCGAAGGCGAGUCCCUGGACAACUCCUGACACUGAGGCACGAAAGCUAGGGGAGCAAACAGG
rnacentral:rRNA from 1 species